AUUGAACGCUCGCGUCAGGCCUAACCCAUGCAAGUCGAGCUAGCGGCGGACGGGUGAGUAAUGUCUGGGGACUGCCCGAUAGAGGGGGAUAACUACUGGCAACGGUGGCUAAUACCGCAUACUCUCGGAUAACCCAUAUGGGAUUAGCUAGUAGGUGUGGUAAAGGCUGACCUAGGCGACGAUCUCUAGCUGAUCUGAGAGGAUGAUCAGCAAGAAUGGGACUGAGACAAGGCCCAGACUCCUACGGAGGCAGCAGUGGGGAAUAUUGAACAAUGGGCGCAAGCCUGAUGAAGACAUGCCGCGUGUAUGAAGAAGGCCUUAGGGUUGUAAAGUACUUGCAGCGGGGAGGCGUUACCCGCAGAAGAAGCACCGGCUAACUCCGUGCCAGCAGCCGCGGUAAUAC
rnacentral:rRNA from 1 species